UCCUUUUUCUUUGGUCUUUGCCCUCUGCUUGACUGCUGCAGCGUACGUAGAACAUUGGUGGUACUGUAGCCGGCCGGCUGUGCGCCUUUCUGCAGCUUUGGCUCUUGGGGGAUAUCUUUGUUUAACUACUAGUCUCUCUGUAACUAUGCUUUUACUGUAAGCUUGGAUUACUACUUACUAGUAGUAUAGAUUAAUUCUAAGUAUAAUAGCCUUUUGUGUCCCACUUGUUUGUCUUGGGUCUUGAGUGCUCGAUCGUUUUGGUUUGACUCGUGUCUUGAUCAUUGUUUGUCUCGAAAGUCUGUCUACCGGAAAUGGUGCUUGGCUUGGAAGCCAGUUCGGUAAUCGAGUGUCAACUCAUGAUGGUGGCAGGCAGGGCAGCUGCUCCCCACGAUCAAUGUCCGGAGUGCUGCUUGUUGCGUUGGUGGCCUGGUUUGGAUUUUUUUUUUCCUUUUUGCCAAACCUGAAAAGAGCGAAAUCUGGUGCCGAGGUUGUUAGAAUUGCCCAACCGGACGGAGGAAUUCCCUCCCAGUCCCAGGAAGCCGGAUGUAGGGCACAGAGCAGCAUUGCCUGUGCAAAUUCUCCUUUGGAUCUGGAUCAUGUUUGUAAUCUCGAGUCUUGCGGCUAGCCUAAAAAUUCGUGGAUCUGAGCAGAAGCGCCUGCCACACUUUGUUUAAUCACUGGUGCUUGAUCUGAUCUUUGGUGCGCUCGGCUAGCUCGCACUACUUGAGUAAGUUUCUCGUCAGGAUCUGUGGGUUGGUUCGUUCCCCAUCACGGUACACGUUCUAGACUGUACAACCACGGGUAGUGCUCCACCCUCCGCGGCACGUGGGGUGGUGGUGGUGGACUGGUGGGCGUCUUCGUGGGUGGGUGGUCAUCUCCGGGCUGGGUCCGCCUGAGCUCCGCCGGAGACCGGCCGCCUCCUCCGCGUGUGCGCGCAUGUGAGGGGAGCAAGCUGCCAACCGGAGUUGGACGGAGGGCUGGGCCUGGACCACUGCCGGAGUGGGGAAAGAAGAGGGAAUAUCAUCGGUGGCUUCUCACCGAUCGAGAUGAUCUUUGCGCGCGUCAUCGCGGUGAAAAUCCGUGCCCGGCUCCAGGACCAUGCACGUUUUUUUCUCUUUUCCAGGACGCGUUACUUUCUUUUCUGCUUCAAGCUUUGACUCGAGGUCUUGUGCUCUCGUCUAUGGCAUGGCUCCUCCGAGCUGCUUGCUUUUCUGCCGGUUCCAGUAGCCAAGCACACAAUGUACAUUCGGUGCCAGUCUAAGCUAAAUGAAAGAAGAUAAAUAUGAACAUAUUAAAGAAAGGAGAUCUGAAUAGUUAACCAAACGACGGAAAUUGCAAACGGAGCUAAAUCUUGCAACUGCGCACUCAUGACGAAAGAUCCUAUUCUCGAUUACCCAUAAUAGAGGCACCGGCAUUCCUCUCUCUCCCCGCCAUCGGCCGCCUGGAUGGCAAGCAGCCGGGAGGCGAAUCCACGGGCUUCCUGACAAAACAUGAAGGGGAGAGUUUGCCCUAACCGCUGACGGGAGGGGGGCUUCGCAUAGAUAUUUCCACGAACAUCUAUUUUUAUAACACUACAAAAACACUUUUUUGGAGCAUGCAAUUAUUACUAUUAUUUUUUUAAAUUCAAUUACUACUAUUGUAAUCAUUGUGUUAAACAUGAAUGUAUGUUUUGAGGUUUACGAACAAUUUUCACAUAUAGAACACAUUUACUUAAAUUAUAAACUGUUUUUAGGGAGAAUAUAAACAAUUAUAUUAUCCACAAACAUUUAAACUUGGUACAUGUGAAUGGUAUUCCUUGCAACACAUGUAUGUUUCUUUUCAUAUACACAAUUUUCAAUUUAUGCCGACAUUGUUUUUUGUAUGCAUGCCAUUUUUUUGCAACACAUGAAUAUGUCUUUUCACAUACAACAUCAUUUGAAAAAACAUGAGGAUUUUCAAUAACUACACAAAUAUUCAUUUUUAUGCGAACACCCUUUUUUUUUGCAAUACAUGAACAUUUCGUAUAAGUUGAUUAUGCAUGAAUUUAGUGAAAUAAAUACUCCCACCGUUCCUAAAUAUAAGUCUUUGGAGAGAUUUGACUAUGGACCACAUACGGAGCUCUCCAAAGACUUAUAUUUAGGAACGAAGGGAGUAUUUAUUAUGAGAUUUUUAUAUAAACAAAAAUAUUUUUUUGAGUGUCUGUAGAAUGGAUCGUACUCUGGCCCAUGUGUGGCCGGUGGUUAGUAAGCUGGGCUUACAUAUCUCUUUUUGCAACAAUGGGCCCUCACUGUAAUGGAUCGUACCAAAAAGGCAUAGACUACGGCCGAAUCCUAUACGGCGCCCGUUGCGCCCGAUACAGGCAUCGGCGCAAACGGGCGCACACCCCCGCAACACCCCCGCGCCGCCCUGGGCCGGCCCGUUUCAUUUUUUUAUUCCUAUUGAAACUAGAGCAAAAAUUAACCUGCGCUAGCGAGGGAUCGAACACUGGACCGCUUGAUUGAAAGUGGAGCGCACUUACCACCAGGAUAACAACGCGCCUAAGCCCAAAAACUUCUUUCUUUCAUUUUUAAUCAUAUCUAGGUCGUUCGCUGGUCAGCUUCUGGGCGUUUUUUUUCUUGUUCCUUGUUCAUGUUUCUUUUCUCAUUUCCUUUUCUUUUUUUCUUUUCCUUAAAUGCGCCAACUUUUUAUCAAAUUCGUGAACUGUUUUCCAACUUUGAUGAACUUUUUCAAAUUUUGAUGAACUUCUUUGAAAUUCCAUGAACUUUUUUUCAAUUUCGAUGGAAAUUCAUUUUUUUUCAAAUUCGGUGAACUAUUUUUUUCAUUUUGGAUGAUUUUUUUUCAAAAUUUGAUGAACUUUUUUCAUAUUCCAUGAACUUUUAUUGAAAUUCAAUGAACUUUUUUCAAAAUCAAUGAAGUUUUCACAAGUUUGAUGAAUUUUUUUUCAAAUUCGAUGAACUUUUUUGAAAUUCGAUAAACUUUUUUCAAAUUCAAUGAACUUUUCCCAAAGUUGAUGAUUGUUUUUUCAAAAACGAUGAACUUUUCCAAAGUCGAUGAAUGUUUUUUCAAAAUCGAUGAACUUUUUCAAAAUUUGUGAACUUUUUUGAAAAUCGAUGAAGUUUUUCCAAUUUUUAUGAACUUUUUUGAAUUCAUCAAUGUUUUUUGAAUACAUGAACUUUUUUUUUCUUCUAAUUCGUGAUGUUUUUUAAAGUCUGUGGACAUUCAAAAUUUGUUCAGAUUUCUUUUCAAAAGAAAUCCCAUUUUUCUAAAGAGGGCGGCUAAAAUUGUACUCCCUCCGUUCUGAAUUACUUGUCUUGGAUUUGUCUAGAUACAGAUGUAUCUAGACUCAUUUUAGUGUUAGAUACAUCCGUAUCUGGAUAAAUCUAAGACAAGUAAUUUAGAACGGAGGGAGUAGUUCUUAGACCUUCCGCGUUGCAAGAUUUCUGUAAGGGCUGUAUUGGUCUAGUGGUUAGCUGACCAUGCGCAGGAGCUUCAUGGUGCGUGUUCGAUUCCUCAUGGGAGCAUCACUUGCGUUCGUUUUUUCCUGACAUGAAUACAUUUUUGCACUGCCCCUGCUGUUCAUGGGCCGGCCAAUUCGCGAGCUGCAGUGCGCGCCAGGUGCGCCAACCGACGCAUAAGGCGCCGAAGAGGAGGUCUCUAGACUACGAGCCCUUGGUCGCAGUAUAACAAGUCUGCAAUGGAUCUCGCUCAUUGCGAGACCUAAGAUGUCGGCUGCAUGCUCCUCCUAGUGCAACGAAGCAAUUUUGGGAAGUUUCUAGUAUGUAAUGAAUCUACCACUGAUUUGCUGGUUUGUGCUUCAGUGGUUUGUUUUCUUUAUUUUGUGUCUAUUCUUUACAAAUUUCAUUGGUUUUUCUGUCUUUCUUUAUUUUCGGGUUUAUUUCUAUUCAUUUUUAUUUCCUUUAUUUUCUUUUUCUUUCAAAUACAUGUUGAUUUGUUAUACGCUGAACAUUUUCUGAUAGACACUUGAUAUUGUUUAAAUACACGGCAAACAUGGUUUAAAACAAUAGUUUAACAUUUUUUGAAUAUAUGUUAGGCAUUUUUUGAAUAAACAUUGAAUAUUAUUCAAAUACAUGUUAAAACUUCCUUGAAUGGAAGUUGAAUUUUUUUCGAAUACAUGUGACACACUUUUCUUAUACACAUUGAACAAUUAAAAAAACAUGAUGAACAUUUUUGCAAAUACAUGUUGAACAUUUUUUCAAAUACAUGCUGAUCAUUUUUUUCGAAUACACAUUGAAAGUUUUUCGUAUACACAUUAAGCAUUUUUUAUACACGUUGAACAUUUGUCAAAUCAGGAGAAACAUUUUUAAAAAUGUCUACAACAUAAUGUUUUAAAAGAGUGAAAAUUUUAAAUGUCAUGAUUAUGUCUGGAAAGUAUUUUUUAAGCCUUCACACACAAAUUGUUUACACCACAUCUACAUUUUAUAAACACAUUAACUUUUGUGAAUGACGAUUUUUAUGAAAUUUACAAACAUUUUUUAAAACAAUGAGAAUAAAAAUUGGCAUUCCCCGAACUAUUUUCCAAUACAUGGUGAACAUUUUUUUUAUAAACUAAAGAUUUUUUUAUCAUUUUCAGAAUAUAAACAUAAGUAAUAAAAAAAUACGUCCUAGCAUUGAGGCGAACGGUUCCUACAUCUCGCAGCAGGCUAGACGAAGACAUUCCCAAACACGCAGGCUACGGACUCUAUUCUACACUCACAACAUAGAAUCCUACUCCCGCCGUGCAAAAUGUUGACCUUUCCCUCGCUUUGGGACAUCACAUUCACGUGAUUCUUUUCCUUGUUGGCUUUUGCGUUUUUUAUGAGUUUGCCUUUUGCGUUUCGUUUAGUUCUAUUUUCCCAUGGUAUGUAUAUCGAACACCUUUUUUUUAAAAAAAAUAAGUCUUUUAAGAAAUAAUGACUAAUUUUAGAUUCAUGAUUUCUUAACAUACAUGAACAUGUUUCAAAAAUCACAAGCAGUUGUUAUAUUUUUUUGAGCAUUUUUUAACCAACAAACAUUAUUUUAAAAAUUCAUGAGCUUUUUGAUUUCACGGACAUUAUCCAAAUCUGUCAAAAGAAAAACAUUUUUGGCUUUUUUUUCACCUAGGUGUUGCAUGUUUUUCUCUGGUUAUUAUUUCCUCAAAACGAACACUCUGAUUUUUCCGUACAAGAGCGAGCUGCAACACUAGUUGGGCUGGCCCAUGGCAGUAUCUUGUGCGUUAUAGCGAGAAGUUGUAGAUAUAAGCCUUAGUUCUCGCGAGCUACUAUCUGGAGACAAUUUCCGGGGUCUAGAUAAAAAAUCCGGACCGGACCGUCGGUCGAACCAGGGAAAACCGAAACCGGCGGCCAUAGCGAUUUUUUAAGCUAAUAAGACCGUUCUGCAAUCAGACCAGAGAAAACCGGUCGAAGCGUCCGGUUUCUGAAAAAUGGAUAAAAAACCAGGCCAUUGAACCGGGAAAAAAUAGGAAAAUGUUUAAUUAGAAAUUUGGAGAAGUGGGAUUCGAUCCCAGGUCAUGUGAGGAGUACGCAGGGCCUUUCCACGGCCCAAUAACCACCUUAGUUGUGCUACUUUGUUGUCCAAUAACAUGAAAAUAAUUUUAUUUGACCAUUGUUUCACAGUAUAUUAGCACAUAUAUUACUCACCAUAUAUUAUUUUAUUACCUAAAAAACUGACCAUCAAACCGGGGAACCCACGGUCUGACCGAUAAAAACCUGAACCGAUAACUUUUCCGGUUCGGUUUAUUAAACUAUGUUCCGAGGGGUGCUCCCAGUCUGCACGUUCGGUGCCGCGGGAGGCCAGGAGCCAACCGGCGCCCAUGCAGUGCCUAAUGGGCUGGCCGACGACGCACAACGUAGAAAAAUUGUCUCGCGGAAAAAACAUGCAAAAUAGUGCGUGACGAGGACUCAAACUCGCGCUGAGCUGCUACAACAGACAUAGUGUUUAGAUAACCACUACAGCUGCUGAGCACAAUUGAUUGAAAUCAACACGAAACAUUUCAGCACCUUUGUAUCCGCGCUAUUUAUUAGAUUUUUGAAUUAUUUGAAAACAAUCUGGGACAGUUAAUUUUUUUAAUGAAAAAGAGUUCAUCAAAUUUUGAAAAAAGCUUACGAAUUUGGAAAACCAUUCAUUUAUUUUUUAAAAAGUUCAUCAAAUUGGGAAAAGAAAAUCAUCAAUUUCUUUAAAAAGUUUAUCAAAAUUGAAAAAGGUUCAUGUUUUUUAAAAAAUCACAAAUUUGAAAAAAGUUCAUCGAAUUUGGGGAAAAAGUCAUCGAAUUGAAUAAAAAACAUCAAUUUUAAAAAAUUUCAAGAUUUUGAAAAAAUAAUCAUCAAACCACGAAGAAGAAGAAAACAAAAAAAAAU
rnacentral:lncRNA from 1 species